AAUCUUGGGCAAUGGGCGCAAGCCUGACCCAGCAACGCCGCGUGAAGGAAGAAGGCGUUCGGGUUGUAAACUUCUUUUCUUGGGGACGAAGAAAGUGACGGUACCUGAGGAAUAAGCCACGGCCAUCUACGGGCCAGCAGCCGCGGUAAUACGUAGGUGGCAAGCGUUAUCCGGAUUUAUUGGGUGUAAAGGGCGUGUAGGCGGGAAUGCAAGUCAGAUGUGAAAACUAUGGGCUCAACCCAUAGCCUGCAUUUGAAACUGUAUUUCUUGAGUGCUGGAGAGGCAAUCGGAAUUCCGUGUGUAGCGGUGAAAUGCGUAGAUAUACGGAGGAACACCAGUGGCGAAGGCGGAUUGCUGGACAGUAACUGACGCUGAGGCGCGAAAGCGUGGGGAGCAAA
rnacentral:rRNA from 1 species